GUAUAAGUAGAGUCUAUGACCUUCUAGACUAGAUCUAGCAUCUCUAGCUAGACUCUAACUUGUAGUUUGUAGAUCUUGGAAUUGGAUCGAAAUUCACCUUCC
rnacentral:sRNA from 1 species